UACAGAGACUGCAAGCGUUAAUCGGAAUUACUGGGCGUAAAGCGUGCGUAGACGGUUAUGUAAGUCGGGUGUGAAAGCCCCGGGCUCAACCUGGGAAUGCCAUUCGAGACUGCAUAGCUAGGGUGCGGAAGAGGGAAGCGGAAUUUCCGGUGUAGCGGUGAAAUGCGUAGAUAUCGGAAGGAACAUCAGUGGCGAAAGCGGCUUCCUGGACCAGCACCGACGUUCAGGCACGAAGGCGUGGGGAGCAAACAGG
rnacentral:rRNA from 1 species